UGGGAGAUGAUGCAUUAAAUUAACUGACUCAUACUUGAUGGUCUUUGUAUUCAUACUGUCUGAUCCCA